rnacentral:RNase_P_RNA from 1 species
AAGGUGGUUCAGGCAAUCGCGUGGCUCAGGCCGCGAGGAAGGUCCGGACUCCACAGGGCAGGAUGACGGCUAACGGCCGUCCGGAUAGCGCAGCCGCCUGGCGGUUGCGGGAAACCGAGGAACAGGGCCACAGAGACGAGACUGCCAGGCGGGCGGCCGAAAGGUCGCACCGAUACGGCCAUCUCCGUAUGGCGCACGGUCAUUCGUGCAGCCUGGCAGGGUGAAACGCGGUAACCUCCAUCCGGAGCAACAUCAAAUAGGCAUACGUACGGCAUUCGUGCCGGAAAGGGCGGCCCGUCCGAGUAUGCGGGUAGAUGGCUAGAGCGCUUCAGCAAUGAUGCGCCCAGAUGAAUGAUUGCCGGCACAACGCGUGAAAACACCGGGGUGUCUACAGAAUCCGGCCUAUCG